rnacentral:hammerhead_ribozyme from 1 species
AUACUGAUGAAGAGUCCCAAACUAGGACGAAACAGCCGUCCAGUAC